ACGGGAUCGACGAGCGGCAACGUCCACUUCGGAAGAGAAGGAGCGGACCCCCGAACGUCGUGACCCAGCACGGAUAUCGAGCACCCACGCGGAGCACGCCGCGACAGGCAGAAGUGUUGCGGGCCUGCGACAUCGCGAUCAGUGAGAACCACGACGACCCUUGGGUGGGCGUCGCGUAUCCUCGCAUCGCGGUCCAUCGCCGAGGCCACCCACGCAACCCACCGCGCACGCUUGGUAACCCGGAUCCGUGCUGACGGGCGGCCAGGAUGAUCCACCUCGGAUCACCCCGGCCGCCCGUAAUACUUU
rnacentral:ncRNA from 1 species